rnacentral:tRNA from 1 species
GGCGGCGUACCCAAGUGGCUAAGGGAAAGGUCUGCAAAACCUUCAUGCAUCGGUUCGAAUCCGAUCGCCGCCU